rnacentral:rRNA from 1 species
GAAUAUUGCGCAAUGGGCGAAAGCCUGACGCAGCGACACCGCGUGCGGGAAGAAGGCCUUAGGGUCGUAAACCGCUGUGGUAAGGGAAGAAGAUCGCCUCUUCGGCGAUUUGACGGUACCUUACUAGAAAGUGGCUGCUAACUUCGUGCCAGAAGCCUCGGUCAUACGGGGGCCACAAGCGUUAUCCGGAAUUACUGGGUGUAAAGAGACGUGUAGGCGGUUUGAAAAGUCAUGUUUAAAAUUCCAGGGCUUAACUCUGGAGCCGGCAUGAUACUAUCAGACUUGGAGUUUUUCUUAGGAAAGCGGAACGUUCUUGUAGCGGUAAAAUGCGUUGAUAAAGAACGGAACACCAACGGCGAAGGCAGCUUUCUCGAGAUUGACUGACGCUGAGACUCGAAAG